rnacentral:rRNA from 1 species
AACGGACGCUGGCGGCAUGCCUAACACAUGCAAGUCGAACGAGACCUUCGGGUCUAGUGGCGCACGGGUGCGUAACGCGUGGGAAUCUGCCCUUCGGUUCGGAAUAACUCAGGGAAACUUGAGCUAAUACCGGAUAAUGACUUCGGUCCAAAGAUUUAUUGCCGAGGGAUGAGCCCGCGUAGGAUUAGCUUGUUGGUGGGGUAAAGGCCUACCAAGGCGACGAUCCUUAGCUGGUCUGAGAGGAUGAUCAGCCACACUGGGACUGAGACACGGCCCAGACUCCUACGGGAGGCAGCAGUGGGGAAUAUUGGACAAUGGGCGAAAGCCUGAUCCAGCAAUGCCGCGUGAGUGAUGAAGGCCUUAGGGUUGUAAAGCUCUUUUACCCGGGAUGAUAAUGACAGUACCGGGAGAAUAAGCCCCGGCUAACUCCGUGCCAGCAGCCGCGGUAAUACGGAGGGGGCUAGCGUUGUUCGGAAUUACUGGGCGUAAAGCGCGCGUAGGCGGCUUUGUAAGUUAGAGGUGAAAGCCCGGGGCUCAACUCCGGAAUUGCCUUUAAGACUGCAUCGCUAGAACGUCGGAGAGGUGAGUGGAAUUCCGAGUGUAGAGGUGAAAUUCGUAGAUAUUCGGAAGAACACCAGUGGCGAAGGCGACUCACUGGACGACUGUUGACGCUGAGGUGCGAAAGCGUGGGGAGCAAACAGG